rnacentral:pre_miRNA from 1 species
CUUCUCUUUGCUUUCAGCUUCUUUACAGUGUUGCCUUGUGGCAUGGAGUUCAAGCAGCAUUGUACAGGGCUAUCAAAGCCUAGAGAGCG